rnacentral:rRNA from 1 species
AUGGUGAACUCGCUUGGACAGAAAGGAGUGGUAGCAGCAGUAUGCAGGGAUCGAGAUGGUAUUUAUUUGGGCUCCUCUGUUCUGGUGUUUGCAAACUCCACUAAUCCUUCCACUUUGGAGGUUUACGCGGCUCGAGAGGCACUGGCACUAGCAGCAGACCUUAAUUUACAGAGGAUACACAUUGCUUCAGAAUGCGACAGGGUGAUCAAGGAUAUCCGGGAUGGAUCUGAUGGAGAGCAGGGCGCCAUCAUAAAGGAGAUCAUUAUCACUAGGAAUACUUUUGAUUUCUGUAGUUUUAAUUAUGAGAGUAGUUUGUUUAAUUUUGAAUCUCAUAUUCUUGCCAAAUUUGGUUGUAAUCUUGGGCCUGGCCGACAUCUUUGGUUGGGAUCACCCCAUGACCAAAACCUUGUACCUAUGAACAUUGAGAUGAAUCAAUAA